rnacentral:rRNA from 1 species
AAGUAAUGAAGGGCGUACGGGGGAUGCCUUGGCUCUCAGGGGCGACGAAGGACGUGAUAAGCUGCGAAAAGUCGCGGGGAGGUGCAAAUAACCGCUAAUCCGCGAAUAUCCGAAUGGGGCAACCCACCAUGAGUAAUUAUGGUAUCCUGUUAUGCAGGAAGCUAACCCGGGGAACUGAAACAUCUAAGUACCCGGAGGAAAAGAAAACAAAAGUGAUUCCCCAAGUAGUGGCGAUCGAACGGGGAACAGCCCAAACCGCAAGUGUUUCGGCACUUACGGGGUUGUAGGACUGCGCUAUAUGAAGUAAACGGAAAUGGAAGUGUCCUGGAAAGCCACACCAAAGGAGGUGAAAGUCCUGUACAUGUAAAGUUUGCGGAAUUAGCAGUAUCCUGAGUAGGGCGGGACACGAGAAAUCCUGUCUGAAACAGCCGGGACCAUCCGGUAAGGCUAAAUACUACUGAGAGACCGAUAGUGGACCAGUACCGUGAGGGAAAGGUGAAAAGCACCCCGGACAGGGGAGUGAAAAAGUACCUGAAACCGUACGCCUACAAGCGGUCGGAGCCCCGAUGCAUAUCGGGGUGACGGCGUGCCUUUUGCAUAAUGAGCCUACGAGUUACUCCUCACUGGCAAGGUUAAGUGGUUCAGCCACGGAGCCGAAGCGAAAGCGAGCCUGAACAGGGCGGAAUAGUCAGUGGGGGUAGACGCGAAACCAUGUGAUCUACCCAUGGCCAGGUUGAAGUCCCGGUAACACGGGAUGGAGGACCGAACCAGGAGACGUUGAAAAGUCUUUGGAUGAGUUGUGGGUAGGGGUGAAAGGCCAAUCAAACUUGGAAAUAGCUCGUACUCCCCGAAAUGCAUUUAGGUGCAGCCUUGGUUACGAGUCUUGCAGAGGUAGAGCUACUGAUUGGAUGCGAGGGCUUCACCGCCUAUCAACUCCAGACAAACUCCGAAUGCUGCAAGAUGCUUACCAGGAGUGAGGGCGCGGGUGCUAAGGUCCGUGUCCGAGAGGGAAAGAACCCGGACCAUCAGCUAAGGUCCCCAAGUGUAUGUUAAGUUGGUUUAACGAAGUCUGAUUGCAUAGACAGCUAGGAUGUUGGCUUGGAAGCAGCCAUUCAUUAAAAGAGUGCGUAACAGCUCACUAGUCGAGCGGUCGGGCGUGGAUAAUAAUCGGGCAUAAAACAUACCACCGAAGCUAUGGAUUGUAAAUUUAUUUACAGUGGUAGGGGAGCAUUCCGGUCAGCGCCGAAGGUGUACUGCGAGGUAUGCUGGAGCGACCGGAAAAGCAAAUGUAGGCAUAAGUAACGAUAAGGCAGGUGGGAAACCUGCCCGCCGAUAGACUAAGGUUUCCUGAUCAACGCUAAUCGGAUCAGGGUUAGUCGGGGCCUAAGGCAAAGCCGAACGGCGAAGCCGAUGGACCAUCGGUUAAUAUUCCGAUACUUCUCUUGACUGCGAUGGGGCGACGAAGUGAUGAAAGGCCCGCGUACUGACGGAAUAGUACGUUAAAAGGCGUAAGUAAUGAGACUCACAGGCAAAUCCGUGAGUUGAGCUGAAACCUGACAGUACCGGGAGCCUUCGGGCAACCGGACAGUGGCCCUAAGGGCUUCCGAGAAAACCCUCUAAGCACCAGGUCAAGAGGACCCGUACCGCAAACCGACACAGGUAGUCAAGGAGAGAAUCCUGAGGCGCUCGAGUGAUUCGUGGCUAAGGAACUAGGCAAAAUGGCCCCGUAACUUCGGGAGAAGGGGCGCUGGCGCAAGUCAGCCGCAGUGAAAAGGCCCAGGCGACUGUUUAUCAAAAACACAGGGCUAUGCCAAAUCGCAAGAUGAAGUAUAUGGCCUGACACCUGCCCGGUGCCGGAAGGUUAAGAGGGGAUGUCAUCGCGGCGUAUGCCGGGAGAAGCAUUGAAUCGAAGCCCCGGUAAACGGCGGCCGUAACUAUAACGGUCCUAAGGUAGCGAAAUUCCUUGUCGGGUAAGUUCCGACCUGCACGAAUGGUGCAACGAUCUGGGCACUGUCUCAGCCACGAGCUCGGUGAAAUUGUAGUAGCGGUGAAGAUGCCGCUUACCCGCAACGGGACGGAAAGACCCCGUGAACCUUUACUGCAACUUCACAUUGGUUCCGGGUAAGUGAUGUGUAGGAUAGGACGGAGGCAUUGAAGCGGGUUCGCCAGGAUUCGUGGAGCCAUCCUUGAAAUACGUCCCUUUGCUUGCCUGGGGCCUAAUCCCUACGUACGUCGGGAGACAGUGUGUGGUGGGUAGUUUGACUGGGGUGGUCGCCUCCAAAAGAGUAACGGAGGCUUCUAAAGGUGCGCUCAUGGCGAUUGGUAACCGCCAGCAGAGCAUAAUGGUAUAAGCGCGCUUGACUGUGAGACCCACAAGUCGAUCAGGUAGGAAACUAGGGCAUAGUGAUCCGGUGGUUCCGUAUGGAAGGGCCAUCGCUCAAAGGAUAAAAGGUACUCCGGGGAUAACAGGCUGAUCGCUCCCAAGAGCUCAUAUCGACGGAGCGGUUUGGCACCUCGAUGUCGGCUCGUCACAUCCUGGGGCUGGAGAAGGUCCCAAGGGUUGGGCUGUUCGCCCAUUAAAGUGGCACGCGAGCUGGGUUCAGAACGUCGUGAGACAGUUCGGUCCCUAUCUGUUGUGGGCGUAGGAGACUUGAGAGGGCCUGACGUUAGUACGAGAGGACCGCGUUGGACAGACCACUGGUUUACCAGUUGUUCCGCCAGGGGCACCGCUGGGUAGCUAUGUCUGGAAGAGAUAAGCGCUGAAAGCAUCUAAGCGCGAAGCCCGCCUCAAGAUGAGGUCUCCUUAGAGGGCCGUUGGAGACGACGACGUAGAUAGGCCGCAGGUGUAAAGACGGUGACGUCAAAGCCGAGCGGUACUAAUAGCCCGAAAC